rnacentral:rRNA from 1 species
GGAGGAAAAGAAACCAACAGGGAUUGCCUCAGUAACGGCGAGUGAAGCGGCAACAGCUCAAAU